CCUGACUCAGCCGCAGACAUUAGUGCUAGGAAGAUGGCGCACCCGGCAAUGUUUCCUAGAAGGGGCAGCAGCAGUAGCAGCGGCAGCAGCUGCGUUACUGCUCCCACUGCACCAGGUACCGGCGUUGGGAGCGCUGCCCUCUCCGCCGAGGAUUAUCAGCCGCCUUUGCUGGUCCAGCCGCCGCCUCCAUCUCCUGCAGCAUCUUCAUCAGCGGGUCCACAGCCGACACCCCCUCCUCCACAAAGCCUGAACCUCCUCUCGCAGUCUCAGCUCCAGCCACAGCCUCUUGCACAGACUGGAGCUCAAAUGAAAAAGAAAAGUGGCUUCCAAAUUACCAGUGUGACCCCUGCUCAAAUAUCAGCUAGCAUGAGCUCUAAUAACAGCAUAGCGGAAGAUACAGAAAGCUACGAUGACCUGGAUGAGUCCCAUACUGAAGACCUGUCGUCUUCAGAAAUCUUGGAUGUUUCUUUAUCCAGGGCCACUGACUUGGGAGAACCUGAGAGGAGCUCCUCUGAAGAGACUUUAAAUAACUUCCAAGAGGCAGAGACUCCAGGGGCUGUUUCUCCAAACCAGCCUCAUAUUCCUCAGCAGCAUGCUCCUCUGCCUCAUCACCCACAGCAGAGUGUUGUGAUCAAUGGCAGUGUUCACCCCCAUCACGUUCAUCACCACCACCAUCUUCACCACCACCAUCAUGGACACCAUCAUCCAUCGCAUCCUGGGGUGGGCAGUGCCCCAGUUUCUGGAGGACCACUGCCCAGUCCAUCGUUUAGGAAACUAUCAACAACUGGAAGCUCUGACAAUGUUAUAUCAACUGCACCAGUUUCUGCUGCAUCAUCCACUGGUUCCCCAGCACCUGUCGUGUCUAAUAUCCGCACUACAAGUACUCCUGGCAAUUUAGGUGUAAGUCCUGCUACUGGAACUAGUACCUUAAAUAAUAUGGGUGGCGGUAGUUCUAGUGUGGCAAGCAGCAUGCUUGGUACUAUAAAUUUAAGCAACAUCACGAGUACUGGUAACGUAAAUGCUUUGUCUGGAACUAGCAGCAAUGUUAAUGUGAAUAUCUUGAGUGGUGUUGGCAAUGGUACGAGUGCUUCCUCUAGUGUCAUUAACAAUGUUACUAAUCCAGCUGCAGGAAUGGCAGUGGGAUCAAGCCAGCAGCAGCCUGCAUCUGGCACGUCAAGGUUUAGGGUUGUAAAAUUAGAUUCUAGUUCUGAACCUUUCAAAAAAGGUAGAUGGACAUGCACUGAAUUCUAUGAUAAAGAAAACACUGUUGCAGUUUCAGAAGGAGUAGCAGUAAACAAAGCAGUAGAGACGAUAAAACAAAACCCGCUUGAAGUGACUUCUGAAAGGGAGAGCACCAGUGGGAGUUCUGUUAGCAGCAAUGUAAGCACACUGAGUCACUAUACAGAAAGUGUGGGAAGUGGAGAAAUGGGAGCACCUACUGUGGUACAGCAGCAAGCGUUUCAAGGUGUGGGUCCGCAGCAGAUGGAUUUUAGCAGCGCUGCUCCUCCGGCAAUUCCAGCAUCUAGUAUACCACAGAGUGUUUCUCAAUCACAGCUUGCACAAGUCCAGCUGCAUUCUCAAGAAGUAAACUAUCCACAGCAGAAGCCAGGGGUCCAACCUCCUGCACAGGCCAGUCUAACCACUGUUACUGGGGUUCAGCCAGCCCCAGUUAAUAUACUAGGUGUAUCCCCAUCUCUGGGCCACCAGCAACCUGCCAUUCAAAGUAUGGCUCAACAGCAGCUACCGUAUUCUCAGCCGGCGCAGACUUUGCCAGUUGUGCAGCAGCAGCAGUUGCAGUAUGGACAACAGCAACAACAGCAGCAACAGACAGUUCCUACGCAGAUGGCCGCAGGUCACGUUAAGCCGGUGAACCAAAACUCUGUUACGGGGGCUAUGCCAGACUACAUUCAACAUCAGCAGAUCCUUCAAACUCCAGCCCCUGCCAUGCAGCCUAGUUCUACAGGGGUGGGAGCAGGGCAACCGGUUCCUGUUGCCCAGGCACAGAGCAUGCAGCCUUCAGUACAAGCACAUCCAGCCGCUGCCCCGGCUCAGCCUGUUGCACACGCUCCAGCAGCGAUACCAGGUGUAGGUACCAGUGGUCAAAUGCUGAAUGUUGGGCAGCAAGGAAGCGUAGCCGCUGUGGUGCAACCACCAUCUGCUGCAAACCAAAUUCCACCUCCAGUUAUGCCGUCAACGGCUGCUCCUCCACCUUCACAAGUAGUGCAGCCUGUGCAGACAGGAAUAAUGCAGCAGGGAUUGCAGGCUAGCGCUUCAGGCCUUCCUCAGCAAAUGGUCAUUGCUCAGCAAAACACCUUGUUACCUGUACAGCCGCAGGCACAAGGAGUGGAAUCUGUAGUCCAAGGGAUGACUGGCCAGCAGCUGCCUGCGGUUAGCCCUAUACCUUCUGCUAGUACUGUUCCUGCACCAAGUCAAGCUGGUUCAGCUGUGCCUCCUGGCAUACCUUCUGCUUCUAUAGGUUUGGGACAGCCACAGAAUAUGGCACAAGCUUCGGCUGUGCAGAAUGGGAAUUUGGCUCAAAGUGUUAGUCAGCCUCCCUUGAUAUCAACAAGUAUAGGUAUGCCAGUGGCACAGAGUGUGCCACAGCAGAUGCCGCUAAGCUCUACCCAGUUCCCUGCACAAUCACUAGCUCAGUCAAUUGUAAGCCAAACUGAAGACGGCAGACGCCCUACAGAACCUUCCUUAGUGGGUUUACCUCAAGCUGCCAGUGGCGAGAGUGGUGUUGGAGCAUCAGCCGUUUCAGAUGGUGGUAGCAGCAACAUGCCCUCUUCUGCUUCCCUCUUUCCGCUGAAGGUGCUGCCAUUGACAACGCCUCUCGGAGUAGAUGGUGAGGAUGAGAGAUACAGAAUGACAGUCAAACACUGCACACUGGUAUGCCUGUGAAGAGGCACUGCCAAAGUUAAUUGUCUCUAGUGCAAAAGCUGGGAGUUCUGGCUGAUCAAAGCAGGUUCUGCAGAUAGACUGGCUGAAAGACCCUGACCAGAGAAGUGUAGGGAAUUAUGUGAAGAUUGAGAACUCACUAUGAAAAAUGAUGCUUUAAAAAAAGAAAAGUGUAAGAAAUUCAUGUAAGCUAAUUGCAUGUAAACGGAAUUGGAUUAAAUCAAGCAAGCCAUGUAUUAAGAGCUAAAAAGGAAAGUACAAAGACACUGUUAAUAUUAAACUACAGAUUAUAUGUAGUUUCUUCAAGGUAUACGUAAAUACUGUAACGUUUGUUGCUAUAGUUGGCUUUCUUAAGGAGGAAAAAAGUGAACAAUCUGACAUCAUACAAUGUCUUAGAAACACUGGUGUGGUUUUUUGUUUUUUUUUUUUUUUUUUUUUUAAAUAUUGGCUCAUGCACUCUGACCAGAAGCAUAGAAUUUCCCUAAGGCUGAAUGAAGGUCUGUCUUUAUGACAAAUGUAUAUUAGGGCCAGUAAAGUCUGUUGAAACUGAUUUAAAAUGUGGUUUAGUUGGGCCAAAAAAAGGUUUGCUCUCGACUGUACUUGGCAUACAAAGUUGACAAGAAACAAAAAGCGUGUUAAUAAAGACAUUUAAAAAUCUUCUUGUGAUGUAAACAGUUUUAAAAACGAAAAGUAAUUAUAACAUCGUUAAAGAAAUGGGUAUUUGUUAAAAUCUAUGAAAUUGAUGCAUCUAUUAAUGGGAGUUAUGUUUAAAAGGUAGUAUUUUCUAUAAUCAACCAAUCGUUCAAUUUUAUAGCCCUAGCAUUUUCCUGCUGUUACAUAUGCGCCAAGAAAUACUGUCUGUGUUUCUCAAAUGGGUAUUGCUGUGACAGUUAUAUACAAUUUUGGAAUUCUUUGUCAUCCUGAGUUCAGAAAAGCCGUAGCUUUUUACCACUCCUAAACUGGCAAUAGGAAGUGUCUUUCAGGGAUUGGUACCUACGCUGGUCUUGAGUAGGUAUUGUCCGACGCCUUGUCUGAUAAUCUAGACAACGCUGUGGCCCUCUCUGGUUUUUAGUAGGCCUUUAGAGAAGUUGAGCACCAAACAUUUCUGGAGAGAGGCCAACUGCUUUAAAACAAAUUCUGAAAUUCAGAAAGUCAAGGUUCCUACUGUUCUAUUUUUCUGCAAGUUUAGCUUUUAAUGAUGGGCUGUGUGACACAAUCUUUUGAAAUCAACACUUUGAUCAAUGUUUUGCUGCCUUUUCUUCAUCUUGGGACUUGAUAACAUUAUCUGGUAUAGCUGUUGUAAUGCUCAAUGACUUCUUCCCUUCUUUCUCAUCAAGUCCCCUCCUCCCCUUCUCUCCAAAAAACCCCAAACUAGGAAGGUUGGAGAAACUAGUAUUUUUUUCAUAGUGUCAGUAGCUUGGAAUUUAAACAGUCAGCCUUACAUCACUCCUGUUGAUACUUUAAUAUGCAUGUCACGUUGGUGCUAGUUUCCAGGAGAGAGAUGCUUUACUAAAAUUUGUUGUUCUUGUAAUGUUUAUUUUGAAUAACAGUUCAACUGGAUGCUGGUGCAUAGAUCCUGCAGUGGGUUUGCAGCCUGCACAUAUUUCUAGAGAACUACCAGUGCCUUUCCUGACUUCAUCUAUAUCUGAAGAUCAUCAACAUAUGUUGUUCUUGUGUCAUCACAGCCAUAAUUUCUUCCUGCUCCAACUAGAAGGAUCCCAUCACAGCCUGCACUUGAGGUAAAUCAGCAAACUCUAUGGUACAGUGACUGAGAAGAGCUGUUGUUAAGCCAGCUUAAGGAGCUGAACAUACAUCUUACCCAUCUCAGUAGCGUGAAUCAUUUCUGAUGACUGAUGCGAGGCAACAAAAAAACCUCUCCCAAAAUUCCCAUGAGGGAUUCAGGUACUUUGGAUGGUCUAUUCUAGACCUCUUUUCCAUUCUUUUAAAUCUUUCGAAGAGCAAAGGAGCAUUUAUUAGCAUUUCUCAUCUCAAAAUGCAGAAAGAUGUUGUUGUUUCAACAUCAUAUGCCUGAAAUACAUAUCUGCAUAUAGGAAAUAAUCAGGCUAGUAUUUUUGAUAGCUAGAACACAAAAAUUAUCAGCCUUGUGUAUUCUUUAGAAUUCAAGACAAGUCUGUUCAAGGGAAGAAAGAUGUAUGAAAGGAUAAAAAUCAGAAGUAAAGGGUUCUCCCUUUCUUGGAAAAGGAGAGAUACUGUGACCUUGGUGUAAGGAAAGGCAUUUAAAAACAAGUUAUUCCUAACAGCAUGUUUCAGAUUGAUCUUCCAGAAACUGUUUUGUUGUUCAGCUAUUUCCAUGAGGGAAAACAGCAAUGGACAAAAUCUUCAUAAAUGCUCUUUUUUUCUUCUUAAAUUUUACAUUGGAUCUUUGUGUCUUCUACUGAACUGCUACAUGAAGAGAAUAAGACCAAGUAAUCCUCUCUUCUACACUCCUGAAACUUCAAUAGGUGAUUUCAUACUGUGCAGUAUAUUGAAGGUGAUCUGGAGUCUUUUUCCAGUGAGUAGGAUCUUUCCCUGGUGAAAGAGGAUUUCUCAAAGACAGCCUUGUCUUGAUAUUACAGGCCCUAGGCAGAUUCCUGUUUGAAAGGAACCUGCAAUAAGCUGGGUCGUGCUGCUUCAUCUGGGUUGAUUUGCUCUGAUACCUUCUAUUGCUUAAGAGCUGGAAAAGAAUAUUGACUUCAGAAGUGUUAGUAGUGUUUGUAGGCUUCAACACAUCACCUGAAAUUAAGCCUAUAAUGCUCUAUGUGGCAUUGUAGUUAUGAAUUCUAAGUAACAAGUAUUAGCAACUUGAAAAGUUCCUGAGAUUCAAGGUAUUGCAAGUUACCUGGUAAAAAAGAACCUUCUACUCACAAGAGAAUGUUAAGAAGAAAUGUGCUUUUAAUUAUGCUGUCCUUUUAUGAUAGCUUCUUAGCCAGCAAGUACAGAGCAGUAAAAAUUUGCAUUGAAUAUGUUCUGUUUAUUAUGUUUUAUCUUUUUAUCUUUAUCUUGUAUCCUCUACCUUACUGGAAGAGGAGAGUGUAAACGUCAGCCUGGGGACAUCUGUUGGCCAAGUACCUAUGUGUGUGUGUUGGUCAGUUAUUCUUUCCAAACAGAAAGACCGUCUUUCACAAAAAAAAAAAUGCACGUGGGAUGAAAAGACUGAACCUGAGUCUCUAACCUUUGAAAGCUGAUCUGAAAUAAUCAAAAAGGCAAUGUUGUAUCAAAUUGUAAAGGUAUAGGAACACAUCUCAGUCUCAUGUUGUUGAAAAGUCAUGAAAUUCCACCAAAAGGCAAUCCUAUUAUUUCUGUGAUAUAGUCUUGCUAUUUAGAGUAAAUCUCUUAGAUUGAGAUACCAUCACCGUAUUCAAUAUCCUCAGAGGAACCAAGAAGCAGAGUAUCUUUCUGCAUGCCCAAGCAGUUUCUCUGGAAGAAGCUUGCUGAUUUUUCUGUUUUAAUUACUGUAGGAUAUUGGGUUCUGUCCUUGACAGCUUUAUCUGUCACCUGUUAAAAUAAAAAGGAAAUUUUCCUGUCUGCUACUCUAACUGCAAAAAUUAAAGAUGCCUUUUUAAAAAUAUAUUAUUGCUCUGGUUUUAAUGACAAAGCCUAGCUUUUUUCCAACUUCUCCUUGUAUUAUUUGGAGCACAAUCAAGGAAAGUUUCUUUGAGUAGGGGAAAGCUUAUAAUUGAAGGACACAUGAGAUACCUAACCAUAUAAAGCUAUUUUGUUUAGGUGUGUUCUCUAAAGGAGAGAAUGAAGAAACACCACCAAAAUUGCCCCCAAAUUAAUUAAGUGAAAUUGCAUCAGACGUAAUGACUAGCAUACCUCCUUGGUUAACUAUUAGAUAAUACUCUACCUGUUGUCUUGAGAGCAAUGAAGAGCACUGCAAGUAAAAUGAUAGUGCCUCAUCUGAGGCACGCAGCACAACGGCUGCCCGACUUGCAAAUACCAGACACUGUUGCUGUUGUGCAAAAGCUGCCCACAAAAGUAAAGAACCAGUGUGAGAGUUUGAAGAAAGAACCCGCUCAGAGGACUGAGUCUCAAGCAAAAGCUCCAGGUUGCAGACUCAGAAAGAAACUUCCUUUGGGGAAGGAUCUGCUUCCAGGAUUUGCUCGUCUCUUUUUCCUUGGGCAAAGAGAGUUCUUGAAGCAAACAACAGGGUUGCAGGACACCUUCUAACCUUUAUACUGCAUCACAAGCCUUCAGCAGAAGAUCUUGAGAGCCAUUUAUGUUGCUGGAAGAUGACUGGGUUUGGAUCUUGGCCUUCCUUAAGCAGGAUCUCCUGACAAAAAUGGGAUUGGGAAAGAAAUGACUACUUUUUCCAUCACACAGAGCCACCCUAGAAAUGGAGGCCUAGGCAGAAAAUUACUUAUAACGCAUCAUUCUUUAGGAAAUUUGUUUGGCCUCCCAUGGUCCUUUUGUUACAGUGUCAUGAAGAUGUCUUUUACAAAACCUAAACCUGGCAUCUUCCUAUCUGAAGAUCAAGUCAAUAAAUCCAAGUUUAAGAGUUCACAGGUCUAAUGUGAUCGGAUCUUGCUGUCCCCUGCAUAGGAGAUGCCGUGUGAAUCUGUAAAACAGGGUUCUGCUGUGGUUCAGAUUGUUAUAUUUGUAAAGCCUUUUCUACUACAGUCCAUUUAAAUGAUGGGAAAUAAUAAAGCUUCUUGUGAAAAUGGUAUUUAAUUAGGCUUCUACCUCUCCAAGUUUACUCAAAUAAAUUUGAGCCAAAAAUGUCACAAUGGCAAUAUGGGAAGUACUGCAUCUUUUGAGGUUUCCUAUGGUUUCGUGUCGAGAAAAGGUAGGUUGGAAGUCUUGAGAGCUAUGAAAGUGGAAAAAACUUAGGUGGUUUUUUUUUUUUCUUUGAGAGUGGAAAGUUAUUUGUUAGAAAGCAGAAAGCUUUUAAUUGUUUUCCCCCUAAGGGAUUCUAUAGUCAAACUUAAUGUCUUGCGAGAUCUCAAAUAAAAACCUUAUGUUUGGCAGUAGUGAACAACA